rnacentral:rRNA from 1 species
AUUGAACGCUGGCGGCAUGCUUUACACAUGCAAGUCGAACGGUAACAGGCCGCAAGGUGCUGACGAGUGGCGAACGGGUGAGUAAUGCAUCGGAACGUGCCCAGUCGUGGGGAUAACGCAGCGAAAGCUGCGCUAAUACCGCAUACGAUCUAUGGAUGAAAGCGGGGGACCGUAAGGCCUCGCGCGAUUGGAGCGGCCGAUGUCAGAUUAGGUAGUUGGUGGGGUAAAGGCUCACCAAGCCAACGAUCUGUAGCUGGUCUGAGAGGACGACCAGCCACACUGGGACUGAGACACGGCCCAGACUCCUACGGGAGGCAGCAGUGGGGAAUUUUGGACAAUGGGCGCAAGCCUGAUCCAGCAAUGCCGCGUGCAGGAAGAAGGCCUUCGGGUUGUAAACUGCUUUUGUACGGAACGAAACGUUCCUGGUUAAUACCUGGGGCUAAUGACGGUACCGUAAGAAUAAGCACCGGCUAACUACGUGCCAGCAGCCGCCGUAAAAC